UACGUAGGGACCAAGCGUUGUUCGGAUUUACUGGGCGUAAAGGGCGCGUAGGCGGCGUGACAAGUCACUUGUGAAAUCUCUGAGCUUAACUCAGAACGGCCAAGUGAUACUGCUGUGCUAGAGUGCAGAAGGGGCAAUCGGAAUUCUUGGUGUAGCGGUGAAAUGCGUAGAUAUCAAGAGGAACACCUGAGGUGAAGACGGGUUGCUGGGCUGACACUGACGCUGAGGCGCGAAAGCCAGGGGAGCAAACGGG
rnacentral:rRNA from 1 species